GAUGAACGCUGGCGGCGUGCCUAAUACAUGCAAGUCGAGCGAACGGACGAGAAGCUUGCUUCUCUGAUGUUAGCGGCGGACGGGUGAGUAACACGUGGAUAACCUACCUAUAAGACUGGGAUAACUUCGGGAAACCGUAGCUAAUACCGGAUAAUAUUUUGAACCGCAUGGUUCAAAAGUGAAAGACGGUCUUGCUGUCACUUAUAGAUGGAUCCGCGCUGCAUUAGCUAGUUGGUAAGGUAACGGCUUACCAAGGCAACGAUGCAUAGCCGACCUGAGAGGGUGAUCGGCCACACUGGAACUGAGACACGGUCCAGACUCCUACGGGAGGCAGCAGUAGGGAAUCUUCCGCAAUGGGCGAAAGCCUGACGGAGCAACGCCGCGUGAGUGAUGAAGGUCUUCGGAUCGUAAAACUCUGUUAUUAGGGAAGAACAUAUGUGUAAGCAACUGUGCACAUCUUGACGGUACCUAAUCAGAGAGCCACGGCUAACUACGUG
rnacentral:rRNA from 1 species